AUUCACCAACAUCUCCACCUUCCACUGUUCUACUCUCCAUCUUAACAUCUUCAACCUAAUCUCUCAUUUUUCUCUCUCUUCACUUUCCCAUGGCAUCACCAAAACUCAUGUUCAUGUCUCUCACCACCAUCCUCCUCCUCCUCACGGUGUUCUCCGCCACUGUGUCCGCCCAGAGCUCCCCAACUCCCGCUCCUGACGCCGGCGCAGCCGGAUCAGUUUCCGGCUCCGCCGUGACGGUAGGAGCUGCGGUUGUCUUGUCCAUGCUUGCCAUCUUCAAGCAAUGAGUCCAUUCAUGUUGUGUGGUUUCGUUUCUAUUAUACAGUUUGAUUUGAUUCAGUGAUGAUUAUGGUGAUAGGGAGAAAUAAUUCACAAAGGAUCUUUUUCUUUGUCAUGUUUAUUCUUUUUCGAGGCUUUCUUGUAUAAUUAUUAUAAAUAUAUAUCAUGUGUUUGUUCAUUUUGUU